rnacentral:lncRNA from 1 species
GUGUUUACUGUAAAACAAAAAGCAGAAGAAUGUCGUCAUUUGAGAAACUCUUUUGGACCUUUGACUGGCGUCCAGCUUGUUAAUCUGUCACCCACUUUAAAUAUUACGCCUAACUUCUGGAUGGUGCUCACUUUAGUUCGUGUUUAUAGAAUGUUUGUAGAUGAUACAAUAGUAAGGUAACAGUAAAUAGUUUCAGUCUUUGAUUCAGGUCACAUGAUUCGUGUCAUAUGACACUGAUGAGAGCAGAAAUCUUCCACAGUUACCAAUAAUACACUCUUUUACCAAUGCUGUCGUCUACCGUGAUGAAUCCAGAUGGCUAAACAGAUGUGGGGACUCCUGAAGUAAAUCGCUGGAUCAUGGAGAGUUUGGGAGUUUUGUCCGUUCUCGCCACCGCUUGUGUUUUGGGAGUGGUGAUGAGUCAGACAACACUCAGUCCUGCUGUGACGAUCACCACAGUCAGUGCAAACAUGAGCUCUGCCGCUCCCAGCACUACAGCGCUCAGCUGCUCCGGCCUCAACACUUCCACCUGCGCUGCCUGCGCUCCUGGCUCUUAUUAUGAUAAUGAAACUCUGUUGUGUUCUUGCUGUCCUGAGGCCGGUCUGUGUGUGUUACCUGGAGCCUGUCUUCUGUGUGUCCAGGGUUUCUAUCAGCCUCUAGCAGGACAGCAGGGCUGUCUGCCCUGUUUAUCUGGGUUUUACAGCAAUUCCACUGGAAGCCCCUUCUGCCAGCCAUGUCCUACUGGGUCCUACAGCAGUAACACAGGCUCUGCCUCCUGUACAGCCUGUGCACCAGGUUUCUACACAUCUUUGCAAAAUUCAACAUCAUGUAACCCAUGUCCACAAGGCACGUACUGCAAUUCCUCCAGCUGUACUCAGUGCCGGGUCUGUCCUGCAGGCUCAGAGGCUCUACAGACCGCUUCCAAAGAAUGUACACCUUGUCGCCCAGGAAUGCACAAGCCUGCCCAUCAAACCAUGUGUCAGAUUUGCAGCAGUGGUUUCUAUCAGAUCCACUGGGGCCAGGAGAACUGUGACCUUUGUCCUGAAAAACACACACACACACACACACACACACACAGUCUUUACUGUUACCACUUAAAUUGUUCCUCUU